rfam:Ochotona princeps cont2.277511, whole genome shotgun sequence.
CUCCAUUCCAAACUCAUCUCAAACUUCAGCUAACAGUUUGAAGAUUCUCAAUACCAGAAUUUGGCAUUAACUUAAAAGGAAAA